UGGGGAAUAUUGCACAAUGGGCGCAAGCCUGAUGCAGCCAUGCCGCGUGUAUGAAGAAGGCCUUCGGGUUGUAAAGUACUUUCAGUCGGGAGGAAGGUGGUAAGGUUAAUAACCUUAUCAAUUGACGUUACCGACAGAAGGAGCACCGGCUAACUCCGUGCCAGCAGCCGCGGUAAUACGGAGGGUGCAAGCGUUAAUCGGAAUUACUGGGCGUAAAGCGCACGCAGGCGGUUGAUUGAGUCAGAUGUGAAAUCCCCGGGCUUAACCCGGGAAUUGCAUCUGAUACUGGUCAGCUAGAGUCUUGUAGAGGGGGGUAGAAUUCCAUGUGUAGCGGUGAAAUGCGUAGAGAUGUGGAGGAAUACCGGUGGCGAAGGCGGCCCCCUGGACAAAGACUGACGCUCAGGUGCGAAAGCGUGGGGAGCAAACAGG
rnacentral:rRNA from 1 species